rnacentral:rRNA from 1 species
UACAGAGGUCCCGAGCGUUGUUCGGAUUCACUGGGCGUAAAGGGUGCGUAGGCUGCACGGUAAGUCAGAGGUGAAAUCCCGGAGCUCAACUUCGGAAUUGCCUCCGAUACUGCCGUGCUUGAGGACUGGAGAGGAGAUUGGAAUUCACAGUGGAGCAGUGAAAUGCGUAGAUAUUGUGAGGAACACUAGUGGCGAAGGCGAAUCUCUGGACAGUUCCUGACGCUGAGGCACGAAGGCCAGGGGAGCAAACGGG